ACAUGCACAUUAACCUGUCUCUGAAGAUGAGAAAUCUCAACCUCCUAUGUCUUGACGAAGGAUAACAUGAGGAUCCUGGGUCACGCAGUGGCAAACGAUGAAUUCCCUGUCUUGGAAGAAAAGCGUAAGUCUAAAAGGUGCAGUAUGCUCUUCCUUUGAGGGUCUCAGCUCUCCCUCCUCCAGCAUCUGUC
rnacentral:lncRNA from 1 species